rnacentral:tmRNA from 1 species
GGGGCUGAAACAGCUUAGACGUUUGGGUAAUUUAAGAAUUAGCCUGCAAGCCGCAUGGAACCGACGUAAUCGGGCCACCCAAGUAAACGCAACCAACUUUGUUGCCAAGGCUAAAAGCUUUGCCGCAUCUUUGAUGCCCAGCAUGGCUUUGGCCCCAGUUGCGGCCUAAAACAUCCGCAACCGUGAGCCGGUCGCGCGCCUAAGGCUGCCGGUAAGCGCAAUAUUACUUUGGCUUUGUGCGGUCGCACGCUUAAAACGGCCGUACGAGAACACUCCUAGAGCAGCCAAGAGGCGGAUUUUGCCAAUUUUAAACCGCUUUUUGGCUUAACCUGAAAUUUGGCUAUGCUUGUAGAUGGCUAAGGCUUAACCGAACGGACCGGGGCGCAAUACCCCGCAGCUCCACCA